rnacentral:rRNA from 1 species
GACGAACCGUGCGAACGUUGUUCGGAAUCACUGGGCUUAAAGGGCGCGUAGGCGCCCCCCAAGUCAAGGGUGAAAUCUUUCGGCUUAACCGGAAAAGUGCCUUUGAUACUGGGGGGCUCGAGGGAGGUAGGGGCGGACGGAACUUCCGGUGGAGCGAUGAAAUGCGUUGAGAUCGGAAGGAACGCCCGUGGCGAAAGCGAGGUCCUGGACGCCUACUGACGCUGAGACGCGAAAGCCAGGGGAGCGAACGGG